GGGGGUACUCGAGUACAUAAUGUGGUACUGGCAGUCAGCUGAGACAUGGCUUGAAACCUUCAAACUCUUCUCAAGCUCCUCGUAUGAGGUAUCGACUGGUAAAGGGUACCUUUGAUUGCAACAAAAGCCCAUAUUAUUGUUGUGGAUCACUGUCGUGAUACACAGAAUAUUCAAGGCAAGUGGACUGAGGUGGUAUCAUCACAUUGGUCAACGUUUUCCCCCAGAGUGACUCAGCCAUGAGAAAUAUAUUUUUUAAUGCCAUCAGAUGAUGAACGUUUUGGCAACAUUUUCCUGAACAUUCAUUCAACAAGGUCACUGUGAAGGUGGUCCUGCAGGGACCCGGGCUCUGUCCACCAACGGUGCUGCCAUUUUCAGGGGGAUGUGGCUCUCAAGCUCAUACACCAUGCUGUGUCCAUGCCAGCCAGCUGGAAGG